UGGGGAAUUUUGGACAAUGGGGGCAACCCUGAUCCAGCAAUGCCGCGUGUGUGAAGAAGGCCUUCGGGUUGUAAAGCACUUUUGUCCGGGAAGAAAUCGCACCUAAUAAUACCGGGUGUGGAUGACGGUACCGGAAGAAUAAGGACCGGCUAACUACGUGCCAGCAGCCGCGGUAAUACGUAGGGUCCAAGCGUUAAUCGGAAUUACUGGGCGUAAAGCGUGCGCAGGCGGUUGUGCAAGACCGAUGUGAAAUCCCCGGGCUUAACCUGGGAAUUGCAUUGGUGACUGCACGGCUAGAGUGUGUCAGAGGGGGGUAGAAUUCCACGUGUAGCAGUGAAAUGCGUAGAGAUGUGGAGGAAUACCGAUGGCGAAGGCAGCCCCCUGGGAUAACACUGACGCUAAUGCACGAAAGCGUGGGGAGCAAACAGG
rnacentral:rRNA from 1 species